ACUAUGUUCUCGCUCUGCUCUUGGUUCUGAUUCUCAACUUGGGAAGUUUCCUCACUUCUCUAGCAAACGCUCCCUACUGUGCACCACCGACGUACCCUCCAAAGUUCCCUCCCAAACACCCUCCUCAUGUUAAACCACCCAUUCACCCUAAACCACCCGUACACCCACCGCAUGUGAAACCACCAGUAAAACCACCGCAUGUGAAGCCUCCCUACACUCCCAAACCACCAGUGAAACCACCGCAUGUGAAGCCUCCUUACACUCCCAAACCACCCGUAAAGCCACCGCAUGUGAAACCUCCCUACAUUCCCAAACCACCGGUAAAACCGCCGCAUGUGAAGCCUCCUUACAUUCCCAAACCACCGGUGAAACCGCCGCACGUGAAGCCUCCUUACAUUCCCAAACCACCGAUUGUCCACCCACCCUUCAUCCCAAAACCACCAAUCGUGCACCCACCCUUCAUCCCAAAACCACCAAUCGUGCAUCCACCUUUCAUCCCUAAACCACCAAUUGUCUACCCACCAGUUAUGCCCAAGCCCCCCGUGUACCCUCCACCGGUGUACCCAAGUCCACCCCCAACACCUGUCGUGACCCCUAGCCCGCCUCCGCCACCAACAGAGACACCCUGCCCUCCUCCACCACCUAAAGUAGUGCCAUACCCACCGCCACCGCCAAAGGACACGUGUCCGAUCGACGCUCUCAAGCUAGGAGCUUGUGUAGACGUUCUCGGUGGGCUGAUUCACGUUGGGAUUGGGGGCAAUGCUAAAGACGCUUGCUGUCCUGUGCUUCAAGGACUGCUGGACUUGGACGCCG
rnacentral:lncRNA from 1 species